UACGUAGGGCGCAAGCGUUGUCCGGAAUUAUUUGGGCGUAAAGAGCUCGUAGGCGGUCUGUUACGUCCGCUGUGAAAACCCAGGGCUUAACCCUGGGCUUGCAGUGGAUACGGGUAGACUAGAGGCAGGUAGGGGAGAAUGGAAUUCCCGGUGUAGCGGUGAAAUGCGCAGAUAUCGGGGAGGAACACCGGUGGCGAAGGCGGUUCUCUGGGCCUGACCUGACGCUGAGGAGCGAAAGCGUGGGGAGCGAACAGG
rnacentral:rRNA from 1 species